rnacentral:lncRNA from 1 species
AUGAAAUCCAGCCUCUUAGUGGCUGUGUGCAGACUGCCUCCUGCCCACAGCCAGGUGCAUGAGCACCUGAGCCAUGCCUGGGAGAGAGCCAACAAGUGCUGGCCAAAUCCAGUCCAGGGCCUGCACUCCCACUGCAGCCUUGUGGAUCACCACAGGCCACCACGUGAACUCAGGCUCUAUUUAUGCAUACACAUGGAGCCUGGAUAUCUCACCAGUCCUGAUUCAACGGCCCACGUAAUCCUUUGCUGAAAAGAGCUGCUGCAGUAGUGGGAGACGUUUUGUGGCCUAUGGCUUCCUCAUGGAGAGAGGAGGGGCAGCGCUGAGCUCUGCUCUCUGGAGACAGUGACAGGGCCGGAGGGAACAACAUGGAGCUGUCAGGGGAGGGGCAGAUGGGGGUGAGGGAAAGGCUCUGCCCCAGACAGCGGUGGGCAUGGAACAGGCUGCCCGGAGCAGCAGGCACAGCUCCAAGUGCCAGAGCUCAGAGAGCAUUGGGACACCACUUUCAGACAUAGGAUCUGAUUUUUGGGUGCUCCUGUGUGGAGCCAGGGGGAACUGCUGUAGGAGGGGGUUGAACUGAGGGAUCUCCAGAGGUCUCUUCCAAUCCUUACAAUUCUGUGAUUCUAUCAUUCUAUGAUUCUAUGAUCAUCCGGCAUCAGUUGGAGAAACUGAGGCUUUCUUGAGACUGUGCAAGUUGGAAGAAGAGAAAUCAGCAUAGUUCUCUUGAAUCUUAUUCCAACUCUUUAAUUAUUAAGUCUUAAUGCUGGCAAGCUUCUUUGGACCACUCAAAGGAGAAUGAAUUGCUAAAUUUGUAGUGUGGGAAAUUUGUAUUGUGGGAAAUUAUUGCCACUCCUAUCACAACAUAGAGGUGGAAGUGCUUCUCAGUGCUGAGAAGCAACAAUAUGAGCAGAGACAUAUGUGUAUUAGAGAGCUCCCUUGAGCUGUCAGCCCCUUGUUUCAACACUUUACCUACAUUCUGUUAUAUUGCAAUCCUGGAAAUUAUCAAUGAGGAGUUAGUUAUGCUCAUGGAACAUAAGGAUGUUGUGGCAACAUCUGCGGUUGGCACUUUCUACCAUACGAUGGAGUUUAACAGCAAUGUGAAAUCGGGUUGAGAUGCAUUAUCUGGGAGAGAGAAUGGGAAGAAAGGAGGGGGAGAGAAUCUGUUGACUUAAGAAUCCCUCCAAAGAGCAUGGGAUAAGAAAAUAAGGAGGCUGGUGGAACAGUCAGUCCCUGUUUGGCUAGCUGGCUGCAG